ensembl:lncRNA
UAUAUCAGUUUAUAUAUAUAUAAACUGAUAUAUGUAUAUCAGUUUAUAUAUAUAUAAACUGCAUUUCAUCACUUCCAUGGUCACAGUGCACUACACAUUGCUGCUUCAUUUAAUUUAUGAAUCUCUUGGUUUUGGCUGCUGUAUCAGUUGCAGGUGUUCCCACAUACAGUAAUGGUUUUGGCAGAUAAUACAUUUUGGUUUGGCUAAUACUUUGAUGAUUUUGAGUUCAAAGCAUGUGUGUUUUUGUAAAGCUUCUCACAAACUUUGUAUCACUGGGUCUUUCCGAAGAGCACAGUAAUAGAGAGCUGAAUCUUUCAGAGUAGCUGCUUUAAUAAUCAGUUCAGUGGAUGUUCUGCUUGUAGAAGAUUCAAAAUGAGGAUCUGGUGUAUUACCCCAACCAUCUCUUGAUCGUGCACCUUUCCACAGUAUGUACUGUGGCUCACUUUUAGGAUACUGUCUGUACCAAUAAAGAUAAACAUAUUCACUGCUUGUUUCAUACGAGCAACUCAAUGUGACCCGGUCGGUUUCAUCUCUGAUAACAACAGCUUGAUCUGGGACAAUGCGAUCACCAAGAGCAACUGGAAAGGAAGUAAAAAGUGGUAUGUGAGGACUCACAUAAAUAUAAAAUCUGUUUUUUAAAUUGAGAAAUUAUGCAUUCAUUUAAUUUUUUUUUAUCAAUUUAAAAAAAUAGCCUACCUGACGCAGCUACGAGAAUAAAUACCACUGAUCUUCUCAUCCUGAAUUUACUGAUCAGCUAUGCCUCUGUUCACAAUCUUAAGGUGUUUCUAUUUGUUUCUGAGCAGUCUAGUACCACUUGUCACACGUCAACAUCGCUGCAUGCUUCUGAUGUUGUUGAGUGUGGUAAAAAAGUUCUGCCCCCUUGUGGCAUUUGUGCAGACUCUUUGGCCUCAUACUGUAGGUUGUUUAAACCAUUUUCUUCUCCGUUUAGCUCUGAGAAGGUUUAUGUUUGGUGUACAUGCAUUUCCUCCCACUGUGGGCUGCAGUGUGCAGUAAUACACUGCAUGUCUGAAGGAAUUGCCUUGAAUCUCUUCCCCUUAUUAACCAUUUGUAGAUUUUUUUUUUUUAUUUAGAUAAAGAGCUCUCUCUUGUGGAGAAUUGUAGCCAUCACAAGUGUCUGCGCCCAUACAUUGGCCAGUAGAAACUCGGUAAAAGAGUCAAAUAGAACCAAAUCGGCAGGAGGAGCUUAAACAGAAAUUGAGCUACUCACCUCCGAAAGUAGAUAGUAAGCCAAAUUAACAAAGUGGCAUUGUUCAGGCUGAUGUUCUGACUAACAGCUCAGCUUGUACAGUCCUAAGGAUGACUUAAGCACUAUUCGGACGGGAUUAGUUUUCUAAACUACGUUUGAGUUUCGAUUCUUACCACCUGACGUCUGUGAUUUUCAUGUACCAAUUCGGACGGGACUAGUAUCUCCGUGUUUAUUACAGAGGUGGGAGGGUCUGUAUUGUGCAUCUGGGCGUCACAGAGAUAAGCGCUCUGUAUGCGUGCAUUUAAUUCAUUCAGAAUGACUGCCUUAGUAUUAUUACACAAUAAAUACUAAAUGGCUAGUAUAACAAAACCAUAUUAAUGUGUGGUUCCUUUAGUUUAACUUGUUUUCCUUUUUUCUUUUUCUUUUUUUUUAUUAAAUGUAAUUAAAACAUUAUGUAACUGAGUACAUAAAUGAACGUGAGUAAUCUUACCUGAUGCUGAUAUUACAAUAGCCGGUAUGAAGUGAAGUGAAGUGAAGUGACAUUCAGCCAAGUAUGGUGACCCAUACUCAGAAUUUGUGCUCUGCAUUUAACCCAUCCGAAAUGCACACACACACACACACCCGGAGCAGUGGGCAGCCAUUUAUGCUGCGGCGCCCGGGGAGCAGUUGGGAGUUCGAUACCUUGCUCAAGGGCACCUAAGUCGUGGUACUGAAGGUGAAGAGAGAACUGUACAUGCACUCCCCCCACCCACAAUUCCGUCCGGCCCGAGACUAGAACCCACAACCCUUCGAUUGGGAGUCCAACCCUCUAACCAUUAGGCCACGACUUCCCCUAAAAUUUUAUUUAACAGUAUUAACAGUUAACGCAAUCUUGAUCUUGAUUUUAUUAUUUGUAUUAUUUUAUUAUUAUUAUUUAUUUGCCGCUAAGCAAAUAUAUCAAACAUCCGCGCGGUAAGAGCAUCUACGGUAAUUCACGUUGGCCAAAACACACAAGGAAACGCGUUGUGAAAUAAAAUAUCACCGGCAAUCAAAGACAUUCGCAUUCGGACGGGAUUAGUUUUCUCAGAGGAUCACUGAGUUUGCUGAAAAACGGUAGGUAAUUUGCUCUGGAAUUAUCACAGAGGUUGUGUGAGAAAAACACAGACGUGGCAGAUUCGGACGGGAUUAAAAUUACC